CAGCCCUUGGCCCAGCUGUUCUAGGCCUGCUUUCAGGGAUCCAGGAAGAAAGUGACCAACCCAUGCAAACUUAGGGCAAAACUAACCAUAUUUAACAGUAGGGAGGUGGCCACAGCUGAUGAAAGACCUCACGCUUGUUCCAACAGGCCCUGGGAGCUGAAUUGUAUCCCUGAAACUGGCCUAGCUUCCUUCAGCUCAACAGAGCAGCUGAAAGACUUUUGAGUUUGCCACAUCUGCGUCACAACUUAAUUCUUGAAAAGGCCGUAUAA
rnacentral:lncRNA from 10 species